UAUAUCUAAUUUCCUAAGCAGAAAUGAUAUAGGGAAUUUUUUUUUAUUAUUAAAAAAAAGUAUGAGAGCUCUUUCUGCCUAGGUGAUCACCUCCUGCUUUAAUUUUGGGAUUAGCAGCCUAAAAUUAAUACUUAAAGAUAAUAAAUAAAAACACAAAAUUUUAAAAAUAAAGAAAAAUCUAAAAAACAUUUAAAUUAAAUUAAAUUAAAUUAAAUUAAAUCAAAUUAAAUUAAAUCAAAUUAAAUUAAAUUAAUUUUAUCUUGGCACAGAGCAAGCGGGAAGUUACUUAGCAAGGUUCCGGGUUUCCCCACGCCCCGCCCGGCCUACCACAGCUAAAUGGUUUUCGUCCUUGGGGUGCUCUGUCCUGCGGAAAGCAAUCCGUGUCCAUCUGUCCCAGCUCUGCCCGCCCGCCUCGCAUCUACCCUUCUCUUCUGACUCCGCCCCACAUCUGUCCGGAACCGCCUCCCGCUGAAGCUGACCCAGUGCGCGUCCGCCAGUCAGUCCCUCCGGACCUGCCGCGAGUCUCAGACUGCCGAAAUUACCGCGCGUCACUCGCCUCAACAGUGAUUCUGAAACUGCUUUUAGCUUCCUUCGCCUUGGCUUUCUUCUUUUUGUGAACAGCUGCUUGGCCCAUAGCUUAGAGAAAUCAGCCUUUUUUUCUCUCCCGCGAAAGCCUCCUUCCUGUGCUUAAAAAGAUGGGGAGUGGAGAGCCUAAUCCUGCUGGCAAGAAAAAGAAGUACCUCAAGGCUGCCCUGUACGUGGGUGACUUGGACCCAGAUGUUACUGAGGACAUGUUAUAUAAAAAGUUCAGGCCUGCUGGCCCUCUGCGCUUCACCCGAAUCUGCCGUGACCCUGUGACCCGCAGCCCCCUGGGCUAUGGCUAUGUUAACUUCCGCUUUCCUGCAGAUGCUGAGUGGGCCCUGAAUACCAUGAAUUUUGAUUUGAUUAAUGGCAAACCUUUCCGCCUCAUGUGGUCUCAGCCAGAUGACCGCUUAAGAAAGUCUGGAGUUGGAAAUAUAUUCAUCAAAAACCUGGACAAAUCCAUAGAUAAUAGGGCCCUUUUUUAUUUAUUUUCUGCUUUUGGGAACAUUCUCUCCUGCAAAGUCGUAUGUGAUGACAAUGGCUCUAAGGGUUAUGCCUAUGUGCACUUUGACAGCCUGGCCGCUGCCAAUAGAGCCAUCUGGCAUAUGAAUGGGGUGCGGCUCAACAACCGCCAGGUGUAUGUUGGUAGAUUCAAAUUCCCAGAAGAGAGGGCAGCUGAAGUCAGAACCAAGGAUAGAGCAACUUUCACUAAUGUUUUUGUUAAAAACUUCGGAGAUGACAUGGAUGAUGAAAAACUGAAGGAAAUCUUUAGUGGAUAUGGGCCAACUGAGAGUGUUAAGCCUUUUUCAGCUUUUCAAAACAGUCACUGUACAAACUUCAAAUGUGCCCAGGAGAAGAAAAUUAAGAACAUUGCUUUGUGAUUGUAAACCAUCAUAUUAAAAGUUAUUCUGGUGAGACUAUUCUGUACAAAAAACUUCAUAUACUGUUGCCUUUCUGGUUGUAUCUAUGAUUAAGGGUACAAACAAAAUGUUACAUGUUAAGUGAUAUUUUCAGUACAGGGGAAAAUGUAAGAAUACUAUGUGUUUAAGGGAAUAUUUAGGAAUGGUGUGAAUGCCAUCCUACCUAUAAAUAAAUGGCUUUAUUUAAGGAAAUAGUUUAAAAUG
rnacentral:lncRNA from 1 species